rnacentral:rRNA from 1 species
GACAGAGGAGGCGAGCGUUGUUCGGAAUUACUGGGCUUAAAGGGCGCGUAGGCGGUAAUGUAAGUCUGAGGUGGAAUCCUUUGGCUUAACCAAAGGACUGCCUUGGAAACUGCAUUACUUGAGUCAGAUAGGGGAAGGCGGAAUUCCUGGUGUAGCAGUGAAAUGCGUAGAUAUCAGGAGGAAGGCCUGUGUUGAAGACGGCCUUCUGGGUCUUGACUGACGCUGAGGCGCGAAAGCGUGGGGAGCAAACAGG